UUGGUAUAGAGCCCUAAAGAACCCCGUGACCCUAAACAGUCAGGGACGUAAAAAGAUAAAUCCUGUUUCAACACAUUCUUCAACUUCGAGGAUAUGCAAGAGAUCACCCAGCACUUUGCUGUCUGUCACGUGGACGCCCCAGGCCAACAAGAAGGGGCACCCUCCUUCCCAACAGGCUUGUGUUCAUUCUACUAUGCGGUGCUGCCACAGAAGGAAGACACUGU